UAUUAAGAGCACUAUUAACGUUCAUUUGUGUUGCAUUUUGACCUAUUAUCCAAGUGAUUUACUUUUCCAUUAUUAUUUAAUCACCCUAUCAUCCAAUUUUUAAGAUGAAAUUACGGUGUUUACAAAACCAACCAAACCGAAAGUGAAACUAGAUGCAUUACGUUUCGCGAUGUAAACAUUAAAUAUGUGUUCAGUUUGAGGAAGCGAAUCGAUAAUAGACGGUGGAAUAUGUAUGCAAUACAGACUAUCAUUGCCGAUUGUAGUACUGGCUAAAAAAUACCUUUUAUGACAGGUAUACUGGAUUAUGAAAGACUGAUAAACAUAAAAUUGACAACUCAUCUCCCCAACGAUACUUUGUGUGGCUCAUUCUCGGAACAAACCCAUAGUCAGUGAGAAAACUACAGUGUAAAAAGACCACUUGAUUGUGACAAUUAUGGCUGACCAAGCAAAUGUUAUCAUUUAAAAUAAAGAAAACUUCCAGUUCAAUA